GGGCACAGCUUCCGCUCACAACAUGGCGCCCGGCCCUUACCUGCCCGCUCAACGGCGCCUGCGCGCGGCUGCGGGGCGGGAGUGUCGGUGCCCCCAGCUGCUGCGCUGCGAGGAGGGCGGGAGGUCUCGGGGGUCCCGUCGGACAGCCGAGGGACCGGGAGGGUUGUCUGCACCUCACUGCCCGGCUUUGCUCAGCGCUGCGUAACCGUCCUUGUAGCAGCACCUGAGCGGGUUUUGCCUUCUCUGGUACCGUUGCUUGGUGCGGUUAAACCGAGACAAAAACAAGGACAGAGGUCUUACGCAUUAGCAUAGAAGAGGGCUGCAAACAGUAGGAAUCUGACCUUCUCUCAGGCACAGGAGUGCACAGGGAGCUACCCUGCAAGAACAAACCUCAGGGCAAGAAAAUCAUCUGGAAACUUUCUUCACGAGGAAGACAAACACACCAGUUAAUCUCUGAGAGCUGUGGGGCAUUCUGACCUUCAGAUCCUGCUAAACUCAAGAGUUGGAUUGUGCUCAGAGUGAGAGUGCUUCUCUGCAUAUGGAUAGCUCAGAUUUGUCUUCCGAAUGACAGCGCUUACCCUGUUCACCACAGUUUGAGAAACCUUUUGCUGAGAUUUGAUAUCUUAAUGGAAACCUACUAUCAAAUACUGGAUACACGUUCUCACCCAGUUAUGGUUGAUUGCUGAGAAUCAUACCUUAAUUUCAGAUUGUAGCAGUCUGAGACAAAAAGGAAACAAUACAGUAUAAACAAGGAUCAGUCUCUGAGUGUCAGGGUUCUGCUGGGUUACAUAUUACACAGGCUGGCUAGAUACAAAGUUGAUGGAAGGGGAAUGUGUGACUGCGUUCUAUUUACACAAGAGGAGUACAGCAAUAACAAACUUGUCAGCCCCACAAGUCACUGUUAUAAAACACACCAGGUACAGAGGAGGCCAUAGCUUUGUGCAUACCCUGUCUCCUCCCCAGACCUAAGAGCUUAAGGAUCACACACCCUUCUGUUAUUGUCAUCAGAUGAGGUCUGACUUAAAGACUCCACUGACAAGAAAAGCACAGUUUAUCCAGCUUUUUGGUGUUCUAAUGUUAGUACCACCAUUUCUUUAUUGGCCUCUCUCAAUUAAACUGUAUUUAUAUCAUUCUCCAUCACUGGUGUACUCCAAAAGCUCCUCACCCGAUCAUAUACCCUAACAAUCUAAUUCUUCACUGUAGAUUACCCAGUGUCUCUUAUUCAGGAAUCACUUUUAAAUCUAGAAGGCUUUACCUCCUCUUUCCUGCCCCUUAAUCAUACACAAAAGGAUUCUCCUGACUGAGCUAAUGGUUAUCUUUUAUCACACUGAAGAACACUUGAUUCUCAUUCCCAACAGUUUGCCAUUCUUUUCUGGAAUACCUGCUGUAGUGAUCAGACCUACAUAUACAUUUUGCUACCCCUGAUGCUUUGAAAUGGUAAAAUGUCCACGUUUCUUCAAGGUGGCCCACUCAUUCUUUCACCAGCAUCUCACAUUUGUGCCUUACCUGUCCCCCCAUAGAGAACCAAGAAGUGCCUUUCUAAGGGUGGCUCAGGUUUAUGGCCAACCACCACGUCUAUACAUUUUCUCCAGUGAUCAAUAAAACCGGUAGCAUCAACAAAAGUAAAUCACAGGGGGUAGUUAUUGUGCAUGGUGUACAUCAGGCAGUGUGUAGUAUUUUCCCCAUCUCCUUGUAUGGUAUCUCCUGUCCCACUGCAGCUGAGAGCUCAUCUUGUGAGCCCCGGCACCCUCAUGAUUCAGAUGUGAGGCUUUACUUCCAUAUUGUUAUUUGAUUUACUCCCAGUAUUGUUAAUAUAUGACUUCUAAUAUGGCACUGAGGGGACAUGGUUUGUGGGCAUGGUGGUGAUGAGUUGACAGUUGGACUAGAUGAUCUUGGAGGUCUUUUCCAACCUUAAUAAAUUCUAUGAUUCUUUGAUUCUGUGAAUAAGGAACCUCACUGAUGUUUGACUUACCUGGAAGUUUCUUUUUCACCGCUCACUAUGAACUGGGGAUUGACAAACUCCAAACCAUACUUGCACCCUUCCUUCCAACAGAAUUAUGUGCCCCAUGGCUAAUUUACAGGUGUAAAGGACAGGUGCCUACUUGGAAUAUGGACAUUUUAGAUCCCCAGAACUCUUCUCAGGUCCUUGUGGUAAUGCAGUCUCACAGCAAGUCCUGAUUUUCGUCAUCUUAAAACAGCGCUUAAUGAAGGAGAGGCACAAACAUGAUGAAAGCCAGCUCAGUAUCUGAAAGGAGUGAAGAAAAACAUGGUGGUCCUGUCACCCUUGUGGGUACCACACUUUGCCCUUGCUGUACUGACUUGCUUUGUCUUUUUUGAUGGAGGAAAGUCUUGCUCCAGAGUAACUACCUUGCCAAAAGGAAUAGCAAGAUGAGCUAUGUUUAUACUGUACUGCAGAGCAAGCAAUGGCUGUGUGUUCAGAUGUGGUUCCUUAUUUGGAGCUUCAUUGUUGUAUACAACAGAUUAGUCAGAAACUAUAAAGCCUUUGCUAUUGGAGCUGUAAAAGUUUCUGGGCUAAAGUGUACUUAGUGUAGUAAGUGAUAUGGACUUGACAUACUGCUGGAUCACAUUAAAUACUUCAGGUGGAGGGGAGGAGGUUGUGGAAUACUUUUGGUUUAGUGGUCAUUCUCCAGUAAGUGAAAAGGAAGAUAAAGCAAGAUGUGGGAGGAAGCAGAAAUGGGAGUCUGAGAAUAGGUGUGAUAAACAGGAAAGAGGAAAAAAGCACAGAAUUAUUUUAAAGAGCUUGUAAGAAGCAGUUGUGCCUUGAAAAUGAAUAGCUCUGUAAUUCUCUAUAAGGAUUUUUGUGUCAGUAUUUACUGAAUCGCAGGAAAUUGGAAACUCUGAUUUGUUAACAGCGAUAAACUGUAGAGAUUCUCUAAGCAGUUGUGGAGAUGUGCCAAUAUUUUCUUUUUUUAGAGCCACUUGAUAAAAGGUUAAUGAAACAAACAACCGUUCGGUGUCACAUUAAAUCAAUUACAACCGGAUAGAAUUUCCAGUAACUUCAGUUAAAUGUUUGCAGUAAGAAGCAAAUUUUCAGCCAUGAGUGGGCCUACAAGUUAAUAGCGUCUUUGGUAUUAAAUCAUCGCAGACAGUAGAAGGGAUUAAGCUUGUUGUCGGGAUCGUAUUCCUCCCCUACUGAUUCACUUGUAGCAAAAAUGAAACUUUGUCUGGCUUCAAAGGAGCUAUUUUAAAAAAUCACAAUUUUCAGGAAGGGAUGACGUUAUUUUGCCUGCUUGAGCCGAAUGAAUGCCUCUAUGCUGUGCACAAAUGAGCUGCUUGCCCUAGUUGAACAAAAGCUACGAUGAGGGCUUUGAUCAGCGCUGACAGUGUUCCUGCACUAUUUCAGUGUCUCAUUCCUUUGUGCUUUCUAGAACCACUACUAAUGACGUUGCUUAAGAGAGUGUAAAUUGCAAUAAGAUGUCCAUCUCCAGAGAGUGCUGAAUUAGUCCAUUGCGAGGAUUCUUUAAUUAUUGAUGUCAUUGCAGCAGAUUACUUUGUUGUUGUUUUAAUAGUUUCUCAAGACAAAGAGAUCCUUUAUGAGCUCCUUAAAGAACUACUCAUCUCUAUUACAAAAUUUGUCCACUUCAGUCCACAGAAACCCUUUUUAUAUUAGUGACACACCAGUGCUCUUGUUUAAAGAGUUACAUUCCACAGUGGGUUUAUUUUUCCUUGGAGACAAGCGGGAAAUCUGUCACUAAUUUCCUACCAGCCAGCUCUGACUGCCUUUUCUCAGUCUUCUCAAUCCUCUGUAAAUUUCUUCCAUUUUGUCUUCUGAGUACAGUUCUGGUUCUCUUAACUUCACUCGUCUUUCUUCUAAGGUAUUCUUUACCCCUUACAAGCAGCCUCAAGAUGGUACUUGGCAGAAGAAGCUGGUCACUUGCACUCUCUACAAUAUAUCAAGCAGAUCUGAGGUGCUCACCCACCUUGUGUACAUCUGUGUCCUCAUUCCUCUAUCCUGCCCAGUUGUCUUUAUUUUCACUUAUCUCCUCACUGCAUGCAGUGUGUCCAAAACUUUACUUCCACUUUUCACACCCAACUCCUUUUUCUCUUAAAAACUUCCCACCUGACAUACAAGAAACUUCUCUAAUUCUCACUGUCAUCAGCUUCUUAUCAAAUUGUGCGCCUUCAUGAGCUGCAUAUUUGCAAUUCAGCGUUUUCUGCCUAUUGCACUGCCAGAAAUUGCAGUUGUGUUGUUGUAGUGCUCUCACCACCUCUCAUCGCUCAUCAGCCAAGCCAGGCUCCUCCAAUCUCUCUUGCCAUUUCUUCACCUUUACUUCUUUCUGCUUCGUAUCCAAAUUCAGCUCCAUGGCCCAGAACUCUGUCCUGGCUUACUUUAUUAAACUCAUUUUAUUCUUUACCCUUUUCAUGGUUCCAUAUCCUUCUGCAUCUUCUUUUCUACUUUGUCUCUUUUGUUUCUCAGCCUCAUGCAUUUUUAAUACCAUUCUGUGCUUCAGGCCUCUCAGCGGAAAGCCCUGCUUUUUUGCAAAUUCCCUCGAGUAUUCUUGUAUCCACAUUAGCAGUGUCUUUCAACUGCUGUCCCAGAAAUUGUAUUUUUUCCAAUAGAUAGAAAACUCUUCAAAGAUUUAGCAGAACCUUUUCUACCUCCACUCUAAAAGCAAUGAAUGUACUUUGGAGAGAUUUUUCAGAGCUAGAACCACAUUCUGUGUUGUCCUCCAGGGCUCAUAUGUUGGGCAUGCGAAGACUGCCAGACCCUAAUUAAGGUCAGUUUUGAACAUUCUGGCAAAUGGUUUAAAUUCAUCCCUGUUUUAUUUAGAAGUUUCAAAAUUUUUGAGGGAGUUUUCCCCACUUAAUAAAAGACUAAAGCUGCUUUAAACCUUAGGUAUCAGUAGGUCCCUAAAGUAAAAAAAAUAAAACAUAUAAAGGGGAUAUUCAGUUGCAAACCUUUGAAAACCACACAUAAUGACAAUCACAACAGUACCAAAUUUGAGGGAGAGUGCACAAAACAAUGUAUUAGGAGCAGCUACAAGAGAAAGUUAAGCUCCCCUUUCUCUUUUUUUGUGUUUCUCCUAUACCACUACUGUGGAGACUGAAAUAACUCCUCUCCCAAUGAUGGUGUCACUGUUAGAGGCACACUGUCAUCUUAAUUUGUUUUCUGACUUCAGAGGGGGAAAUAGACUCUGACUGCUGACUCACUUGUUAGGUCUGAAGUCAAGUAGUUACGUUUAUUUCAUCUUUUUGGCCAUGAAAUUGGUGUUUUAAAUAUCUACCGCCUUUGUAGUAGGUGUAGGUACUCAUAUCCAGGAAGGAGAAGGAAAUAAACAGUCUGAAGCAGCUAAGUUUGUUGUCAGAGAUCAGAUGUGACACAAGACAGGAAUACACGAGAUUUUUACAGAGUUUAAUAGUUUUCCUCUUUCUUUCUGGACUACAGCACAGGGAUGUCCUUAACCUCAAUGGUUAAGAUGAGUACUGGCAGUGUCAGCAAAAGAUGGUCUGGCUGCAGAUCCAUCAUUCAUGUUUUUAUUUUUCUCUCUUGGCCUACACUCUGGUGUCUCUUCAAGCUGAAGUAGAAAAGUCUUGUGGAAAAUCGCUCUGCAAAUGAACCUGUUUUGGCCAUGAGUUUGCUCUGAUUUAAUUAGCCUUUGUUUUCCACGUGUCUGUGAGGCUGAGGCAGAACUUCUACUGCCAACAAAAAAUAUUGUUUGGUGUCCAUGUAUUUUACAUACAUUUUGAAAUAAAGAUUGCAGUUUAGUCUGGGCUGGCAAAGUACCAGCUAAUGGAGGCUCCUUCUAAGAGCACAUUGUUCUUUUUGACCCUCCUUCCUGGGGGCACAGUCCUCUGCUGGUUGAAGAUGAGAGGGGCUCCAUCUUUUUUAACCACUUUGCAUCUUUGGGCUUUUAAACCAUCGAUUAGCACUGACUUUCCUAAGGAAAAUGGAGUUUUUGGUUGUAAUAAUAAUAAUAAAAUGCAUAUUUGAAAGAGGUGAAUGGCUCUAAAUAUUUAUAGCAAGGAAGAACACAUAUAAGAAAUAUAAUAAAAAGGAUACAGAUUGUUUCAGCCAUGUGGUUUUCCUCAGGAUUAAGUAGCACUGCCUCUAUUUCAUUCUAUUUUUCUGAAAUCCUUAGAAGUUAUUCAAUAUCAGAUCUAAUCUUAUUUUCUGCCUUUAGCUUGCUUGUUUUUAGAUCCUCCUUCUAGAAUUUCAGUAGGGAGCUUCUUGCUGCUUUUUUCCCUUUUUUGUUAGGCUGCAGAACAAUGCAGUAGAAUAAAUUUGAUGAUGUAUUUCUAAAUUCUCAUGGACUCAGUGUUUUUGUUUUUUCAGUUUAUGUUUGUCACACUUCUAAUCAUGGCCAUGCAUUUUAACAGCGGAACUGCGCAUUUCUGUAGUAAUAAACAAAAACAACAAAACACCCCAAAGAAUUGUAGAAAUGAACGUUGCAACAUUUUCAAUAUUCAUUUAUUUCUCCCCCCCUCCUACACUUCAGAACGUCUCUUCUUAUAGACAGUUAAAACUAAUGGCAAACUGUC